GCCGAAGUGGUGGAAUUGGCAGACGCGCUGGACUCAAAAUCCAGUGGUAGCAAUACCGUGCGGGUUCGAUUCCCGCCUUCGGCA
rnacentral:tRNA from 1 species